rnacentral:misc_RNA from 1 species
AAGUCGUAACAAGGUCUCCGUAGGUGAACCUGCGGAGGGAUCAUUACCGAGUGAGGGCGCCCGCGCCCGACCUCCCACCCUUUUGUGAACCAAACCACGUUGCCUCGGGGGCGACCCGGCCGCCGCGCCGGGGCCCCCGGUGGACCCCAACCAACCCUUCGUUAACGAGUCGUCUGAGUAUUGAAGCAAAUCAAUCAAAACUUUCAACAACGGAUCUCUUGGUUCUG